UACGUAGGGUGCGAGCGUUAAUCGGAAUUACUGGGCGUAAAGCGUGCGUAGGCGGUUCGUUAAGUCAGCUGUGAAAGCCCCGGGCUCAACCUGGGAAUUGCGGUUGAAACUGGCGAACUAGAAUCUGGCAGAGGGGGGUGGAAUUCCACGUGUAGCAGUGAAAUGCGUAGAGAUGUGGAGGAACACCGAUGGCGAAGGCGGCGACCUGGUCCUUGACUGACGCUGAGGCGCGGAAGCGUGGGGAGCAAACAGG
rnacentral:rRNA from 1 species